UGUGGACAGGUGCUGUGUAGAGAGGGUCUGACUGGGCGCUGUUACUGGGAGGUAGAGUGGAGUGGGGGAGGGGCUAUUAUAGGAGUGACAUAUAAAGGAAUCAACAGGAGAGGAAUGGGUAGGGAUUGUUGGCUUGGAUGGAAUGACAAGUCCUGGAGUCUGACCUGGUCUGACAACAGUUACUCUGCCUGUCACAAAAAUAUUACCACUACCAUAGACGUCCACCCCUCCAGCUCCCACAGAGUAGGAGUGUAUCUGGACUGGCCAGCCGGCACUCUGUCCUUCUAUAGAGCCUCCUCUGACACACUGACCCACCUGAACACAUACCACACCACAUUCACUGAACCCCUCUAUCCAGGGUUUAAGGUUUGGGGUGAUGGUGACUCAGCGUCCCUGUAAAUAAUAACCUGACACAAACACACACACACACACACACACACACAAACUGGACACACACACUGGUCACACACACUGGACACACACACAUGUACAAACACAUACACUGACCACUGACACAAACACACACACUGACACACACACUGGACAAACACACUGACACACACACUCUGGACACACUCUCACACACUGGACACACACAUCCACGUCUUCCUAUAAUUGUUGACCUUCAUGUUUAUAAGACGAUAACAAUAUCCAUGUUCUAUCUGGCUGCUGUUCUAGAACAGCUUCUAUCCCAGUUCUAUCUGCCUGUUAAAUUAGUUUCUGGACCACAGGUUCUAGAACAGCUUCUAUCCCAGUUCUAUCUGCCUGUUAAAUUAGUUUCUGGACCACAGGUUCUAGAACAGCUUCUAUCCCAGUUCUAUCUGCCUGUUAAAUUAGUUUCUGGACCACAGGUUCUAGAACAGCUUCUAUCCCAGUUCUAUCUGCCUGUUAAAUCAGUUUCUGGACCACAGGUUCUAGAACAGCUUCUAUCCCAGUUCUAUCUGCCUGUUAAAUCAUCAACCUAAACUGUUUCCAUCAGACUAUUAGAACAUGACUGAACCUUUUGGUUCCUUUUCUGAUCUUUUACAACUUUGCAUUUUUAUGAUAAAUGUUACUGUUUGUGUUUGUACCACAGGAGGUUGGUGGGACCUUAAUUGGGGAGGACAGGCUUGUAAUGGCUGGAGGGGAAUAAGUGGAAUGGUAUCAAACACGUGGUUUCCACGUGUUCCAUUUCAUUCACUCUGUUCCAGACAUUAUUAUGAGCCGUCCUCCCCUCAGCAGCCUCCUCUGGUAUGUACUGUCCUAUAUGUGAGAGAGCUCCAACAAGGAAUUACAAUGUAUGUAUUACUUUGAAUACCUGCAAAUGGCAAAUAAACUACUAGAACUCCUUA